UAGAACUAUUGAUUAUGCCACAUAAGGCAAAGAAUUAUACUGGUUAUUACUGAGUUCCCACUCAACACAAUCUACAGCAGGAGACCAGUUGAUAAUUCAUCAAUACGCUACAGCGUUCUAAUAUGAGAGAAGCUAAUACGAAAUCUUAGGGUAUUACAGAACCUAAUUGUGAAGUAUAGUGAAGUACAAUAUUGUCACAUCAUAUGUGUCUGUUAGUGCCUCUAGUAAUAGCUAGAUACAUACAGGGGAAGUAGUAUACAGAGAAAAAUCAGCAAUUACUAAAGAAAUGUGUCAGGUUCUCACUCUGGCUGUAUGUUUAUUUGCUGGUCACCUAACAGCACACAAUCACCAUGGCAACCAUGCUCAAGUGCCACCUGUACCUGGAUCUGAUGCAACACACAAUGUUGACAAGAUACAUGACUUCCAUGAUCCCACCAAAGAUUCAAAUCAUAUUAAGGAGCACUAUGAAGGUAUAGCCAACUUGGAUGAGGCCAACAUGACAGCAGAAGAAUUAGAAUUCCAUUAUUUCAAGCAACAUGACUUUGACAAUGACAGCAGGCUUGAUGGUUUGGAGAUUCUCUCUGCACUGACUCAUCUGAUGCCAUCUGAUAUAGAUGAACGUAAGGAAGGUGAAACUGUUGAAGAUCUCAAGGCUAAACAAGAGGAAACAUUCCAAUAUUAUGUUGACAUAAUAGACACUGUACUUGAGGAAGAUGACAUCAACAAUGAUGGUUAUAUGACAUAUCCAGAGUAUGUCAUUGCAAGACGUAGAGAUGAGGCACGUGAGGCGAAACAGGAGAAGGAAGAGAAAGAGAAAGAGGCCAAUGAAAAGAAGGAAAAUAAAGGAGCUGAUUUAUAGCAUUAAGAUUUGGCAUUUGAAAUUACAUCAAAUGUCUGUGUAAUCAUCAUUCUAUGCUGCAUAUUUAAAGAGGGACAUGCUGACUAUUGAAAAAAUCUCUCAAACAAAUUAACAUGUUCUUCAUAACUUUCGAAAUAGCGGUAUAUGUUUUGUCAUAUACGGUACUCAUUUUUAAUAAUCAGUGUAUGCCUCUUUAAUAUUCCAAGUUGUUUGUAUAAAAUCUGGCAUUUUAUUGUUUGUUAAAUUAUUUGAUUGAUAAAGCCAUGUGAUCUCUGACACAUGAUUAAAUCUGAACUACUGUAAGAAACUGGUCAGUAAUUAGUAAUUACUUUCAUCUAUCUUUCUCUUCAGUUGUAUACUUACAAUCUAGAGUUGUAUACCUGGACAUAAAAGAUGAAUUGAUGUGAAAUAAAUAAGUAUACUUGUAGUAUUACUGUAUAUUAUAUU
rnacentral:misc_RNA from 1 species